GAUGAACGCUGGCGGCGUGCCUAAUACAUGCAAGUCGAGCGAACGGACGAGAAGCUUGCUUCUCUGAUGUUAGCGGCGGACGGGUGAGUAACACGUGGAUAACCUACCUAUAAGACUGGGAUAACUUCGGGAAACCGGAGCUAAUACCGGAUAAUAUUUUGAACCGCAUGGUUCAAAAGUGAAAGACGGUCUUGCUGUCACUUAUAGAUGGAUCCGCGCUGCAUUAGCUAGUUGGUAAGGUAACGGCUUACCAAGGCAACGAUGCAUAGCCGACCUGAGAGGGGGAUCGGCCACACUGGAACUGGGACACGGCCCAGCACCCUAGGGGAGGCAGCAGUAGGGAAUCUUCCCAAAGGGGGGAAAGCCUGAGGGAGCAACGCCGGGUGGGGAAUGAAGGUCUUCGGAUCGUAAAACUUUGUUAUUAGGGAAAAACAAAUGGGAAAGUAACUGUGCAAAUCUUGACGGUACCUAAGCAGAAAGCCACGGCUAACUACGG
rnacentral:rRNA from 1 species